AAAAAAGGGAAAUUUGAAUGUUAUCGGAUUUGCUUAUGAAAAUUAGGUGUUAUACCCAAAUUUUCAUUCUAUUUUCAGCUGCUUUGAUUUGGAGGUCCCGUCCAGUAAAUCUCAAAAGCUGUGUUCUUCAACUUCAUCAGAUUCGCGGAUUUGCUUUGUACUGAAUCGCAGGUAUUUAGGUCAACAAACCCUAGAUUUACUGUUAUUGAAGAAGACAUAGUAGUAGUAGUUUUUUAAGAUACUGUAUUUUAUACAUUAUAUGUGCUGUGUUUAUUGAAUCUGUAAUUGUAAGCGCAAGUUUUAGA
rnacentral:misc_RNA from 1 species